UACGGAGGGUGCAAACGUUGCUCGGAAUCAUUGGGCGUAAAGCGCGUGUAGGCGGCCUUGCAAGUCGGGUGUGAAAGCCCUCAGCUCAACUGAGGAAGCGCGCCCGAAACUGCAGAGCUUGAGUACCGGAGAGGAUGGCGGAAUUCCCCAAGUAGAGGUGAAAUUCGUAGAUAUGGGGAGGAACACCGGUGGCGAAGGCGGCCAUCUGGACGGAUACUGACGCUGAGACGCGAAAGCGUGGGGAGCAAACAGG
rnacentral:rRNA from 1 species